CUCUUUUCCACCACCAUGAGCUUUUUCCCUCCCACUACCUAGUCGAAGCCGACCAGAUGAUCGUCGGGCACGAGCGCACGGUAUCGAGCUAUCAUACACCAGCGUCAGUUAGCAACCGGCUUUUCAAGGAACAUGACACGAAUUUAGAAUCUUAAUAACACGACGAAAGACGCGGCUCCGUAAUCAGUCUGUGAUAUUAUUAUGACUGGUAACUAUUUAUCAUUCACAAUAUUCUUCGAAAGUGACGAAUUAAGGACGUGUCACGGUAAAGGCAGGCCGAACGUGAAAACUCUACG